UAGGGAAUAUUGGUCAAUGGGCGAGAGCCUGAACCAGCCAUGCCGCGUGCAGGAAGACGGCGUUCUGCGUUGUAAACUGCUUUUAUCUGGGAAGAAAAAGCCCUUGCGAGGGAAAUUGCCGGUACCAGAAGAAUAAGCACCGGCUAACUCCGUGCCAGCAGCCGCGGUAAUACGGAGGGUGCAAGCGUUGUCCGGAUUUAUUGGGUUUAAAGGGUGCGUAGGCGGCUGAUUAAGUCAGCGGUGAAAGUUCUCGGCUCAACCGAGAGACUGCCGUUGAUACUGGUCAGCUUGAGUUAUGGAGGGGUACAUGGAAUUUAUGGUGUAGCGGUGAAAUGCAUAGAUACCAUAAGGAACACCGAUAGCGAAGGCAUUGUACUGGCCAUAAACUGACGCUGAGGCACGAAAGCGUGGGUAGCGAACAGG
rnacentral:rRNA from 1 species